AGGGUUUGAUCCUGGCUCAGGGUUAACGCUGGCGGCGUGCCUUACACAUGCAAGUCGAACGGGGCAUACAGCGAUGUAUGCUUAGUGGCGAACGGGUGAGGAAGACGCAGGGACCUACCGAGCAGAGGGGGAUACCCGCUGGAAACGGCGGAUAAAACCGCAUACGCCCGUGUGAAGAGCGCGGGGAAAAGCGCUACGGUGUUACUGGUCGAGGGACCUGCGGCCCAUCAGGUAGUUGGGGAGGUAACGGCUCACCAAGCCGACGACGGGUAUCUGGCGUGAGAGCGCGAACAGGCACAAGGACACUGAGAGACGGGUCCUACUCCUACGGGAGGCAGCAGUGGGGAAUAUUGGACAAUGGGCGAAAGCCUGAUCCAGCGACGCCGCGUGUCGGAAGGAGUCCUUCGGGAUGUAAACGACUUUUGGUGGAGACGAAUAAGCAGCUCAGGGAAUGGGGCUGUGAUGACGGUAUCCAUGGAAUAAGCCCCGGCUAACUACGUGCCAGCAGCCGCGGUAAGACGUAGGGGGCAAGCGUUACCCGGAAUUACUGGGCGUAAAGGGAGCGUAGGCGGGAGGUCAAGUCCGGUGUGAAAGUCCCUGGCUCAACCAGGGGAUAGGGCUGGAAACUGACAAUCUUGAGUACAGCAGAGGAAGAGGGAAUUACCGGUGUAGGGGUGAAAUCCGUAGAGACCGGUAGGAAGGCCAGUGGCGAAGGCGCUUUUCUGGGCUGUUACUGACGCUGAGGCUCGAAAGCCAGGGGAGCAAACCGGAUUAGAUACCCGGGUAGUCCUGGCCGUAAACGAUGCUCACUAGGUGUGGGGCACAGAGCGUGUUCUGCGCUGAAGCAAACGCAAUAAGUGAGCCGCCUGGGGAGUACGUCCGCAAGGAUGAAACUCAAAGGAAUUGACGGGGGCCCGCACAAGCGGUGGAGCGUGUGGUUUAAUUCGACGUUAAGCGAAGAACCUUACCAGGUCUUGACAUAUCCGUGGUAGUGAACUGAAAGGGGAACGACGGAGGCGAAUGCCUUCGAGCGGAUACAGGUGGUGCAUGGUCGUCGUCAGCUCGUGCCGUGAGGUGUUGGGUUAAGUCCCGCAACGAGCGCA
rnacentral:rRNA from 1 species